rnacentral:antisense_RNA from 1 species
AUGGGCACUUAGCUUGCUUGAGAUUACACAGAACCAUGCCUCUGGUUUCCUGGUACAGUGCUCCUGUAGGUGACGGAUGCUCCCGGGUGACAUAUCAUGAAUCUCUCUGAGGCAAGAUGGCUGACUAGGAACAGCUCCAGUCGGCAGCUCCCAGCGAGACCAACACAGAAGGCCGUCAUCCUUAAGCCAUAAAAUGCCCUGUAUAGGUGGAACAGGUCAGAAGACUGAAUGCUCAAGCUGCAUGUGGAGUUAACAUGGCAAUAACACAGAAUGUGAUGACAGCAGACUCUAGAAUCUCAUGACAUCAGUUUAUAUUAGAACUGUUCUGUAGCUCACCUUUCUCCGAAGUUGGAAUUCACAUGGCUGUGGAAUGUGUUUCUACCUUCACUGUUCGAGGAGUCAUCCAACAAAUCCAGGGGUGGGAAAACAGCUGGAUGAGGACAAUAACAUAUAUGACACCUGUAUAAUCCUCUACCUUGGACCAUCUCUCUCACCAGCUGCCUUCCACACCCCUGUCCUACUAACUCCUUCUUUCACUUGAACAUUCUUUACCCCAGAUUUUUGCAUCCUUCAGUGACAUGGAAAAGCAACUGUUAAGAGACUUUGGCCUAAAGAUACAUUGAGAAGGGAAAAAAAGUUUAAUAAGUGGCAAAUGUCA